UCGCUACUACCGAUUGAAUGGCUUAGUGAGCUCUCUGGAUUGUUGCAUCCUUGUGGAAACGCAGGGGAGCAUACGAAAAGGAGAUCAAACUUGAUCAUUUAGAGGAAGUAA
rnacentral:rRNA from 1 species